rnacentral:misc_RNA from 1 species
CCGAGUUUGCAAAACUCCCAAACCCACUGUGAACCUACCAUUCCGUUGCUUCGGCGCGAGUGCCCCGGGCGCGGCCGCAAGGCGCAGCCCCGGAACCAGGCGCCCGCCGGAGGACCUAAACUCCUGUUUUCACCAGCACGUUUUCUUCUGAGUGGCCUACGGGCAAUAAAAUGAAUCA